GGCCCCUUAGCUCAGUUGGUUAGAGCACGCGACUCAUAAUCGCUUGGUCGCUGGUUCAAACCCAGCAGGGGCCACCA
rnacentral:tRNA from 1 species